GAGCUUGCUCAGAUAUGACGAUGGACAUUGCAAAGAGUGGCGAACGGGUGAGUAACACGUGGGAAACCUACCUCUUAGCAGGGGAUAACAUUUGGAAACAGAUGCUAAUACCGUAUAACAAUGACAACCGCAUGGUUGUUAUUUGAAAGAUGGUUCUGCUAUCACUAAGAGAUGGUCCCGCGGUGCAUUAGCUAGUUGGUAAGGUAAUGGCUUACCAAGGCGAUGAUGCAUAGCCGAGUUGAGAGACUGAUCGGCCACAAUGGGACUGAGACACGGCCCAUACUCCUACGGGAGGCAGCAGUAGGGAAUCUUCCACAAUGGGCGAAAGCCUGAUGGAGCAACGCCGCGUGUGUGAUGAAGGGUUUCGGCUCGUAAAACACUGUUGUAAGAGAAGAAUGACAUUGAGAGUAACUGUUCAAUGUGUGACGGUAUCUUACCAGAAAGGAACGGCUAAAUACGUGCCAGCAGCCGCGGUAAUACGUAUG
rnacentral:rRNA from 1 species